rnacentral:rRNA from 1 species
AUACGGAGGGUGCAAGCGUUACUCGGAAUCACUGGGCGUAAAGCGCGCGCAGGCGGCUUGAUAAGUUGGAUGUGAAAGCCUACGGCUCAACCAUAGAACUGCAUCCAAAACUGUCAGGCUAGAGUGUGGGAGAGGAAGAUGGAAUUAGUUGUGUAGGGGUAAAAUCCGUAGAGAUAACUAGGAAUACCAAAAGCGAAGGCAAUCUUCUGGAACACUACUGACGCUGAGGCGCGAAGGCGUGGGGAGCAAACAGGAUUAGAAACCCUAGUAGUCC